ACCUGGCUAGCUCAGUUGGUAGAGUAUGAGACUCUUAAUUUCAGGGCCGUAGGUUUGAGCCCCAUGUUGGGCA